AACGAACGCUGGCGGCAUGCCUAACACAUGCAAGUCGAACGAGACCUUCGGGUCUAGUGGCGCACGUGUGCGUAACGCGUGGGAACCUGCCCUUAGGUUCGGAAUAACUCCCCGAAAGGGGUGCUAAUACCGGAUAAUGUCUUCGGACCAAAGAAUUAUCGCCUUUGGAUGGGCCCGCGUUGGAUUAGCUAGUUGGUAGGGUAAAAGCCUACCAAGGCGACGAUACAUAGCUGGUCUGAGAGGAUGAUCAGCCACACUGGGACUGAGACACGGCCCAGACUCCUACGGGAGGCAGCAGUGGGGAAUAUUGGACAAUGGGCGAAAGUGUGAGACAGCAAUGCCGCGUGAGUGAUGCAGGUCUUAGGGUUGUAAAGCUCUUUUACCCGGGAGGAUAAUGACAGUACCGGGAGAAUAAGCACCGGCUAACUCCGUG
rnacentral:rRNA from 1 species